rnacentral:lncRNA from 1 species
UUUUCUGGCCUCGCUUGCUGGGUUCCUGUAACCUCACUCUGGUCUGCGUCUUGCCCUGGUGUUUUCUUGAAUAAAGAGACUUCACCAUCCUGGAUCACAGUUCAUCUUUGGUGCACGCUCCAACCCAUAUUCUUCAGAGUUCAGAGGUCAUUGACAGUCUAUUGAGAGGAAUGCCCCAGAGACAAGUCCUCGGGCCAUCCACACAGGAACCACACUGAAAGAACAUAUUUAGUAGCUUCCUGCAUCCCGAGUGUGGUUAGAGAUGAAUCUGUUGCAAGAUGUGAUUUCACCUCUUGAUCUCUCUGUAAACACUGUAAUGGGUAGCAGGGAGCUAGGAUAGUGAGAGGGAGAGGUGUUGUGUCUGUGGAACAGGAAUUCCUAGACAGAUGUUGGGACUGCAGAGACUGAAGGAUUGAUGGACAGAACUUGAGUGAUGUGGAGAGGAAUGAAUAUUGGAGCCCAGAGGCUAAUUACAGUGUGUGCUCUCCUUACCCCAUGAGUAGACACUCCUUGGUCCCCCUGUGUUGGAACUACCUCACGUCUUGUCACUGACACAUGAAGUUGGACCUGACAUCCUAACAGAGUUUUUUAAAAACCAGAACAUAUAACCUUAAAACAAAGUCUUAAUAGUCUACCAGUCAAAGGACUGAAUGUCAUCACACAGCAGCUAACACCUGUGCUGAGGAUUCUCUGCUUUACCUAACAGCCAACUUACCAUUUCCUCAUCUGUAAGUGUGUAUUCUGUAUAUGGUUUGUGUGGGCAAACUUGUCCCUGAAGUUUCCAGGCAAAUUCAACUUGUGCUUCACUGAGGGUUAAAUGAUGAGCUGGUGUCAUUCAUAGAUUCAAGAGCAUAUUAGGAACAAGUUUGCUAUUGUGCUUUUUUACACCUUGUCUUUUUUUUUUAACCCACAUCAUUACCACAGGGCCAUAAUGACUUCUGUGGGAUUUGGAAGAGACUAAUAAUAUAUUUGUGAAAGUGAGUUAAAUUACAUAAUGCUAUGAGAGGAUUUAUGUGACAUAAUUCAACAAGUGCUUCUUCAGUGAUGCUCUGGUGUUUAUAUAUCAAUUCCUUACUUCCGUACCUAUAUACUUCUAUAUUGAUUUCUAUCAGUAUGACUCAGAAUACACGUUAUUAUUAUCUUCUCAUAUUGCCCUUGUCUAUAUUGAUGACCAAGUUGUCCCAGUAUUGGCCAGAGGAAUCCAUUUACAAUGGCAUCAGUGUUCAUCUGGUGCCUCUGGAGUCUUUGCUGAGUCUAAACAUUGCACUCACUGACCCCGUGUAUAUAAAGGAGGUAAUGAUGCUCACAUCCAAGGAUCAUGUUCAAGACUUAAAGAGACAGAAAACAAAACCUAGUGUUUCGUGUGUCUUGUUUGGCACACUCCCCUUGCCUCUUUCAUGCUGUCAGUGUGAUGGCUCUGGCAGGACAGAAUGGACAUGAGCACAUGAAAAGAAGGAUAGGAUACUUUUCAAGGUAAUGGGAAGUGAACAAUCUCACAUUUCCAUUAUGUCUGUGCAUUCAUGGGUCUCACUGUGUGUGUUCAGGGGAAUGUGAUGAACUGGGAAGAGGAAGACCAUCAUUGCAUAACUUCCACUGAUGGAGUCUGCACAGUAUAAAAGCAAAGGAUUUAAUCUCUGCAUCCCAGAAGCUGGAGCUGGUAGAGAAGAAUACAUUGUGAUGUGACAUCUGUCAGACAGAAAGGGUGACUGGAACAUGGUGACAUUAUGGGUAAGUCACUUGUCUUCCUGCAUCCUUAUCCAUUAAGGGCGAUCACACUAUCCAGUCUUUUGUUCAUCAGCAAACCUUUGAGGCAUCAAUGCCUUGUCAUCUCAGAUGGAUGGUAGGACCAUGUACUUUGCAGUAAAUUAUAUUAUAUCAACUGUUCCAGGACUUCCUGGUCGGUGUUAUACUGGAGGCACUCUGACCUGGUGAGUGCCUGCAUGUCUAAACUUUCUGAUAUUACUGUGAAUAUAUUCCCUUCACUUGAACCCUUCUAAGAACAGAGUCUCCAACACAUUUUCUCUAUGUCUAAAGAGGACCACAUCAUAUCCCAUCCCAUUAUAUUUCUUUCAUGAACUAUCACACAGAACUGAGAAAUAUGAAGAGACUAGGCCAAUGUGUGCCUUUUUUAAUCAUUUAUUUCCAAUACUGCCUAUGUAUACCGACCUGCAGGGAUACAAGCCUGGGUCCUUCCCCUCUUGGAGAGUCCAGAGGAGCUGGGAACAGCAGCUUCAAAUAGGCAGACUGCACACACAGGCAGGGUCUGUGCACUCAGUGGAAAUCUGUGACUGGGAACCUGUCCUGAAUCCAGGACUGUUCGCCAUCUUUUCCUGCAACACCUCUCCCUCCUCCUUAGCCACCAUUUCUUUUCAAAUCUUGGGCUCCAAUCCCAGAUGCUCCCUUGGAUUCUGUGAUUUUUCUCAGUUCUGGCAGCAGCUCUAG